rnacentral:rRNA from 1 species
CAGCAGCAGCCACGGGAAUACGAAGGGGGCUAGCGUUGUUCGGAAUUACUGGGCGUAAAGCGCACGUAGGCGGAUACUUAAGUUAGGGGUGAAAUCCCAGGGCUCAACCCUGGAACUGCCUUUAAUACUGGGUAUCUUGAGUUCGAGAGAGGUAAGUGGAAUUCCGAGUGUAGAGGCGAAAUUCGUAGAUAUUCGGAGGAACACCAGUGGCGAAGGCGGCUUACUGGCUCGAUACUGACGCUGAGGUGCGAAAGCGUGGGGAGCAAACAGGAUUAGAUACCCCAGUAGUCCCUGUCUCUUAUAC